rnacentral:lncRNA from 13 species
AUGCUUCUUUUUACGUCAUUUCACCACUUGUGGCCUCCAUUCAGGGGACCAACUCAUGGCCUAAUAUGGUUUGUCCAGCUCCAGCUAUCACAUCUGCAUUCCAUCCAGGAAGACAGAAGUGACACAGAAGAGGAAAAGAACACUUGCCAGCUGUGUUUUAAGGAAGGUCAACUCAAUUUUCUUCAGAGACAGCCUAGGCACAGGCCCCUUGAGGUGUGAAGCCUCAACCUGUGGAUCCAGGCUCUCCACACUGAGCCUAGCCCUAUGGCCUUCCCCCUCAUGCAGGUCAUGAAAAGCAGGUGACAAUAGGUGACUGGAGGAAUUUCCUAUGACCUGACCACUCCUCCUUGGGGGUCAGAAUUCUGAAUGUGUCUUCAUAAUUGGAAUUUUAUCUGCAUGGUUUAAAACAAACAGAAACUACUCCUUCAUAAUUCUGGCUCAGGCUCUGUAAGACACACACUGAGAUUUGAGGACGUGAUGGUGAGAAAGUGAUGCCUUCUGAGCUCAGGUGAACCAGGAUGUGUUCUUCUUUUCUUCAAAUAGGGUGUGAGACUCCCAGCAACCUUUCAUCAAUGACCAAACCCCAAGAGCAGGUCUGGCCCGUGGCGCAGCAGCUAACACUCAUCUGGCCUUUACCACACUCCCAGGGCAGAGCUAAGUGCUUCGCACCUAUUAUCUCACCUGUGCUCACACCUCCCGUGAGGUAGCAACAAGUACCAUCCAUGAGGAAUCAACUCAGCAGAGUGAAGGAAUCUGCCCAAGACCACAUAGCUAGUAAGUCCAGGAGCUGGAAGUGCAAUCUAGACUCAUGCACUUCCAGUGGGAAGGGGAAAAGAAGAAUGAAGACAACCAAUCCACAGUGAAAGCCUGGAGGCCAGGAGCAGAGCCUUCCUUGUGCGUGGAAGAGAGGUGUGCUUCUAACCCAAACUCCCUCCCGGGUAUUUUAUGUGAGUGAAAAGAUUAAUUUCUAUUGUGUUUGAGCUACUAUAAUAUUUGGGGGUUUAUUUGUUGCAGCAGGUAGCAUUAGCCCAAGUAGUCCAUACAGGCACAUAACCCAGUCUUGCAGGCUUGAGAAGGCCAAGUAUGCCGAUUCUGAAGGCUAGGUAGUUGCCAAUUAAGCAAACAGGCAGGGUAAAGGACUUGUGCCUAUGCUCCUAACUCCCUGGAAGCUGGAGUUAGGAACUAAGACCAGCCCACUGGAGGCCAGUUUGAGAUAAGGCCUCCUCAGUGGGCUCCUCUUGCCAGCCUGGCCGUGUAAUGCACAUCUCUCUCCUUCCAGGUCCUCAGCAAGAGGAAGAGUCAGCUUUUAACAUCUGGUGGGUGAGCCAGAGGUGGGGGUUGCAGGAUUUGAACAAUUGCAAGUGGGGAAGAAAACAGACGAAAUGUAAUACCACCCUGUGAGUACGUCUCCUGGCCUUACACCCACACUGCUUUCUGACCUCUUUUCUCCACAGUCCUAAUUGCCCACCAUGUAUCGCAUUUAAAAUUGGUGAGAACUUUGCGAGACUCGUUAGGGAGCCACUGUCUGCUUCCUGGCUCUCCCAUGCUGGCUAGGCAUCGGCCUUCAGUCCUGCCUGAGAAAUCCUUCUCCUGCCUUGUCACUCCAUUCUGAUUUCCAAGCAAAUGAUCCCUCAUCACAUAUCGCAAACUGCUGUGCCCUGAGGGAACUUCGUGGUGCUGGUGGAAAGCUCCCACUGCCUCCUUCUGUGGGAUGUUUUGUAAAGACUGGGGUCUUGUCCAUCUUGGCAAGAAGUUGAAGUCCCUUUUCUCCUUAUGUUUGGCUGUAGUCAUCCUUUCCAGUCAUUCAAAGCUUCGCCAUAAGCUCAUCCCCACGGCUUUGUAGACAAAACUCCCACGUCCCCCUGGUUCCCUGCCCACCACACCACCCCUGAAAAAACAACAGCUCAUUUGUAAGAGGUUUUUAAUUUCAUCUUGGUAUGCCAUUAAGGAGUGGAAUAAGGAUCUCUAUUCAUUUUCACUCACAUAGUAUCUGCUACAUUCUCCAGCUGGUCUUUUCCACAGAAGCCUGUGGGGUCAUACAGCAUCUGCAUAAUUUUCACUCACCAGACUGGUUUGGGUUUCUUGGUGGUUUGUAUAAAUUAUAAACAAGAGCACAAAAAUCACACAACAUAGACUCUAGCGUAAGGGGACAUGUUGCCUCUGGCCUUGCCAGAGUGAUAGGGACGUGUCUCUGUGUUCAAGUCUCCAAUGACGUCCCCAGAAGUGAGGCCAAGCCUGUCCUGGCCCCUCUCAGAUGGUUCCACAGUGACCCUCUGUCUUCCCCACCAACUCAUUCUGAGUUCCCAGGAGGCUUCCUAGCACAGAAGGAUCCCAUCCUAGCACCAUAAGUGGAGACCAGGGUGUGGAACUGUCCCCAUGUACAAUGGCUGCUGGGUCUUCUGUGCCAAGGAUCAGAAGAGUGAGCUGGAAGGAAGAGCCAAGAGUUUCCACUGGACCCUUCUGCCUCUGUGAGCUCCAUGAGGUUAUUUAGAAACAGAACCUCUAAAGCAAAGGGCCCCAAACUUUUCCUUUCAAGAGCCAGACAAUACAGAUAGCAAAUAUUUCAGGCUUUCCAGGCCACAGACAGCCUGUUAUAUAUAUUCUUCUUCUCUUUUUUUUAAAUGACCUCAAAAAAAUGUAAAAACCAUUCUUGGCUGGCAAGCCAUAGAAAGCAGGCCUGCAGGCAGGAGUUUGCCCACCCUGCUCUAGUAUACCACCAGGCCCUCCUCUGUUCCCUCAGCCUUCGCCUCCUUCCCACUCCGGGACUCUGGCAUCCCUCUGAGCUGCUCUGAGCUGGUGUCUCCUCCAGCACAGCCUUUGAAGAGGGACUUCAGCAGGCAGAACUGCCCUCAGGAGCUCAGGAGCCCUCCAGCUCUGCAACCCUGCGUACCCACCUUUGCCAAGUGAGUGGCCUGGUUGUAUCUUAAACAAAUAUAUGAUUCUCAGCCCUGCUCAUGUGUCCUGGGGAUGAAUUAAGCCUUGGCAUUUCCCACUGAGGUAGGUACAUACUGUUAGCCUCAUCACACUUGCAGAUGCUAAAGCUCAAGAGCGGAACCAACCUUCCUAGCAGUGCCCAACAACCACUUGUCAGAAUGUAAAAGAAAGCCCCGGAGUCUGGGCUUUACAUUUUCUCAGAACAUGAUCAGAGAUGAUUCUGUCCCACCCCAGCCUAGCGAUUCAACCCCAAAGACAGCAAGAAUGCAAGAGAGAACACUGUCAGCCACACAGAAUUGCUUUCCAGACCUGAAAGACACUCUGAAAACAGAAUGAACCCAAGCACUCAAAGCUAUGGGGCUAGAUGGAGCAGCCCUCUCUGCCCUGCCGACAAGUCUCAUCAAACUAAAAAUAAAGUUUAUAAAAGUAAAUUAUCUCA